rnacentral:rRNA from 1 species
GGGACACGUGGUAUCCUGUCUGAAUAUGGGGGGACCAUCCUCCAAGGCUAAAUACUCCUGACUGACCGAUAGUGAACCAGUACCGUGAGGGAAAGGCGAAAAGAACCCCGGCGAGGGGAGUGAAAAAGAACCUGAAACCGUGUACGUACAAGCAGUGGGAGCCUCUUAAUGGGGUGACUGCGUACCUUUUGUAUAAUGGGUCAGCGACUUAUAUUCUGUAGCAAGGUUAACCGAAUAGGGGAGCCGAAGGGAAACCGAGUCUUAACUGGGCGUUAAGUUGCAGGGUAUAGACCCGAAACCCGGUGAUCUAGCCAUGGGCAGGUUGAAGGUUGGGUAACACUAACUGGAGGACCGAACCGACUAAUGUUGAAAAAUUAGCGGAUGACUUGUGGCUGGGGGUGAAAGGCCAAUCAAACCGGGAGAUAGCUGGUUCUCCCCGAAAGCUAUUUAGGUAGCGCCUCGUGAAUUCAUCUCCGGGGGUAGAGCACUGUUUCGGCAAGGGGGUCAUCCCGACUUACCAACCCGAUGCAAACUGCGAAUACCGGAGAAUGUUAUCACGGGAGACACACGGCGGGUGCUAACGUCCGUCGUGAAGAGGGAAACAACCCAGACCGCCAGCUAAGGUCCCAAAGUCAUGGUUAAGUGGGAAACGAUGUGGGAAGGCCCAGACAGCCAGGAUGUUGGCUUAGAAGCAGCCAUCAUUUAAAGAAAGCGUAAUAGCUCACUGGUCGAGUCGGCCUGCGCGGAAGAUGUAACGGGGCUAAACCAUGCACCGAAGCUGCGGCAGCGACACUAUGUGUUGUUGGGUAGGGGAGCGUUCUGUAAGCCUGUGAAGGUGUACUGUGAGGUAUGCUGGAGGUAUCAGAAGUGCGAAUGCUGACAUAAGUAACGAUAAAGCGGGUGAAAAGCCCGCUCGCCGGAAGACCAAGGGUUCCUGUCCAACGUUAAUCGGGGCAGGGUGAGUCGACCCCUAAGGCGAGGCCGAAAGGCGUAGUCGAUGGGAAACAGAUUAAUAUUCCUGUACUUGGUGUUACUGCGAAGGGGGGACGGAGAAGGCUAUGUUGGCCGGGCGACGGUUGUCCCGGUUUAAGCGUGUAGGCUGGUUUUCCAGGCAAAUCCGGAAAACCAAGGCUGAGGCGUGAUGACGAGGCACUACGGUGCUGAAGC